rnacentral:rRNA from 1 species
UACGGGGGGAGCAAGCGUUGUUCGGAUUUACUGGGCGUAAAGGGCGCGUAGGCGGCCUGUGCAAGUCAGUUGUGAAAUCUCCGAGCUUAACUCGGAACGGUCAACUGAUACUGCUCGGCUAGAGUGCGGAAGGGGCAACUGGAAUUCUUGGUGUAGAGGUGAAAUGCGUAGAUAUCAAGAGGAACACCUGCGGCGAAGGCGGGUUGCUGGGCCGACACUGACGCUGAGGCGCGAAAGCUAGGGGAGCGAACGGG